UACGUAGGGUGCAAGCGUUGUCCGGAAUUAUUGGGCGUAAAGAGCUCGUAGGCGGUCUGUCGCGUCUGCUGUGAAAACUCAGGGCUUAACCCUGAGCUUGCAGUGGGUACGGGCAGACUAGAGUGCGGUAGGGGAGACUGGAAUUCCUGGUGUAGCGGUGGAAUGCGCAGAUAUCAGGAGGAACGCCGGUGGCGAAGGCGGGUCUCUGGGCCGUAACUGACGCUGGGAGCGAAAGCAUGGGGAGCGAACAGG
rnacentral:rRNA from 1 species